GACGAACGCUGGCGGCGUGCUUAACACAUGCAAGUCGUACGGUAAGGCCCUUUCGGGGGUACACGAGUGGCGAACGGGUGAGUAACACGUGAGUAACCUGCCCACAACUUUGGGAUAACGCUAGGAAACUGGUGCUAAUACUGGAUAUGUGCUCCUGCUGCAUGGUGGGGGUUGGAAAGCUCCGGCGGUUGUGGAUGGACUCGCGGCCUAUCAGCUUGUUGGUGGGGUAGUGGCCUACCAAGGCGGCGACGGGUAGCCGGCCUGAGAGGGUGACCGGCCACAUUGGGACUGAGAUACGGCCCAGACUCCUACGGGAGGCAGCAGUGGGGAAGAUUGCACAAUGGGCGCAAGCCUGAUGCAGCAACGCCGCGUGCGGGAGGACGGCCUUCGGGUUGUAAACCGCUUUCAGCAGGGACGAAGCUUUUUGUGACGGUACCUGCAGAAGAAGCACCGGCUAACUACGUG
rnacentral:rRNA from 1 species